rnacentral:tRNA from 1 species
GGAGAGCUGGCCGAGUGGUCGAAGGCACCUGACUCGAAAUCAGGCAUACCGGCAACGGUAUCUAAGGUUCGAAUCCUUAGCUCUCCG